GACCUGGCUGGGUGGUCUUGCCGCAAGGCAGAGCACUGCUCUGGUCGGGUCUUUCCUUCUGGGGAACCCGGGUGCUCUUCAGUGAGUGCCCGGGGGAUCCAGGACUUUUACUUUGAAAAAAUUAGAGUGUUUAAAGCAGGCGAAACAGCUUGAAUACAUUAGCAUGGAAUAAUAAAACAG
rnacentral:rRNA from 1 species